rnacentral:misc_RNA from 1 species
AACCAUGGUUCAACUACUGGCUAUAGAAUAAAGAUAUAAAUCCUCAAGUGGCCAUACAAGGGAAUUGGUUGUAACUUAUGAUUAACCCUGAUGACUUUAUGGUACAUGUAGUGCUUUGGUGUCCAUUAUUUCCUGGAGACUGUGAUAUUUCUGUGAUAUGUCGGUGUUGAUCAUUGCAACAUAUGUAUGCAUGUAUAUGUAUAUCUUUAACUAGUUUUAAAAUGUAUUUUCAAAUUCAGAUGCUUCCAGUAUUUAUUAUUAUGUCAGUGUUAUUACAAUCAUGUACAUGUGGUUGAAAACACUUUGCAGUAUAUACAAGUAGAUACAAAAUUUUGCUUUUCCAUCACAGGAGGGUAUGUUCUAUUUUGCCAUUAGAAAAAAAUCUUUAUUAUUUCAAAGUGCAAUUGGUUCUGGCUUCCAUCAUUUGCUUUAAUCGUAUUGCAUGUAUAAGUAUUAGUACCAGGAUAUUUCACAAUUAUACAAAAAUUCCAGUUUUAAUUAUUAUUUUGGCAAACAUUCAAUGUAUAUUGUAUUUAUGCGCAUCUUAGAUUCCCUUUUAUUUAAAAACAGAAAAUCCUGCAACUUGGACUGAAGUUCAUGCUUUUCAUACUUUUAGAUGCAAUAUUUUUGUACACUGCAUAAUAAAAUUGAUUUUUCU